AGGUAAGGAUUCCGGAUCGUCGAGUGGACAAGCCGGUGGAAACACGCGUUAGAAAGGAGCGCUUUAAAGGUGACUAUGGUGAACUUACGGAUGGCGAUCAAGAAAUGUCCAAGAACCGAACACGACUUUUGAAGCUUCCGCUAUGUUUUAACCUUUGAUAGACUUUUUUAUGGGAUGUAAUCAAAUUGUUAAACAACUUUUGAAUGCUUUGACUUAGUCAUUAGUUGGCUAAGGUUUUGCUACUUUUGAACUUUACUUAUCAAAUCUAUGUUAUAAUUAGAUAUUUUCAUCUAAAAUGAGAUAAUUUAUUAAUAAAUUCAAGUGAAA